UACGAAGGGGGCUAGCGUUGCUCGGAAUCACUGGGCGUAAAGGGUGCGUAGGCGGGUUUUUAAGUCAGGGGUGAAAUCUUUCGGCUCAACCGGAAAAGUGCCUUUGAUACUGGCAGGCUCGAGGGAGGUAGGGGUAUGUGGAACUUCCGGUGGAGCGGUGAAAUGCGUUGAUAUCGGAAGGAACGCCGGUGGCGAAAGCGACGUACUGGACCUCUUCUGACGCUGAGGCGCGAAAGCUAGGGGAGCAAACGGG
rnacentral:rRNA from 1 species